UACGUAGGGUGCGAGCGUUAAUCGGAAUUACUGGGCGUAAAGCGUGCGCAGGCGGUUAUUUAAGUCAGGUGUGAAAGCCCUGGGCUUAACCUAGGAAUUGCGCUUGAGACUGGAUAGCUUGGAGUGCGGCAGAGGGAGGUGGAAUUCCACGUGUAGCAGUGAAAUGCGUAGAGAUGUGGAGGAACACCGGUGGCGAAGGCAGCCUCCUGGGCCAGCACUGACGCUCAUGCACGAAAGCGUGGGGAGCAAACAGG
rnacentral:rRNA from 1 species